rnacentral:snRNA from 1 species
GGAUGUGAGGGCGAUCUGGCUGCGACAUCUGUCACCCCAUUGAUCGCCAGGGUUGAUUCGGCUGAUCUGGCUGGCUAGGCGGGUGUCCCCUUCCUCCCUCACCGCUCCAUGUGCGUCCCUCCCGAAGCUGCGCGCUCGGUCGAAGAGGAGGACCAUCCCCGAUAGAGGAGGACCGUUCUUUGGUCAAGGGUAUACGAGUAGCUGCGCUCCCCUGCUAGAACCUCCAAACAAGCUCUCAAGAAAGUGGAAACAGACUGGAGGUGUGACUUAAGUCAUAGAGUGCCUGCUUUCCAAGUGAAGAGCCCUGAGUU